rnacentral:rRNA from 1 species
UACGUAGGGUGCAAGCGUUAAUCGGAAUUACUGGGCGUAAAGCGUGCGCAGGCGGUGAUGUAAGACAGUUGUGAAAUCCCCGGGCUCAACCUGGGAACUGCAUCUGUGACUGCAUCGCUGGAGUACGGCAGAGGGGGAUGGAAUUCCGCGUGUAGCAGCGAAAUGCGUAGAUAUGCGGAGGAACACCGAUGGCGAAGGCAAUCCCCUGGGCCUGUACUGACGCUCAUGCACGAAAGCGUGGGGAGCAAACAGG